UGCAUUUUGUUUAUAUAGCGUAGAAGUCGCGCCAUGGAUAUAUCCACCGGAUCCGCCGGUGGCGACUGCCGUUGCUGCCUCUGCGCGAUGCAAGCCACCAUAGGAGUUCGCCCUGUUGUAUGCUCGUUGGUGCCCCGAAAUCCCGAUAUCCCGAGACGCUGGUUUGCAUCUUCUAGGGCCUUUUUUAUGUACUAGUUCUUUAGCGUACUGGAUAAUUAGUGAUCGUUUCACUUCUUUGAUUUUAUCGCCGAAUCAAUGUGCCCAGAUAAUUCGUAUGUAGAUCAACAUUAUUGAAUUUCAAUCAAGCUGACGUUAAUCGCACCUCUAAUUCUACCUCACGGAAGCUUAAUUCCUGCUAGAUUAUGGAUAGAGAUGUAGUACAGUGUAGGUACUUAUAGAUUUCCUAUCGUUUUGACUUUGGGGAAAGAGAGUAGGUCUUAGCAUGUGUGCUGGAAGCCUGUAGAGUAUAGGAAGGACCUUGGGAAUUGUACCAUGCUAAUAGAGCGAGAUUCUCAGAGUUCCGACAAUAUAAUUUGUACGGCUUGCGGCUUGAUUUUGUUGGUUUUUGAUCUUGAAAAUGGAGAGGAAUCCAUUAUUGGGUCGGAAACUCACGGUAAAGAUUAGAAGAUGGUUAUGAAUUGAGAACAUUUUAGUUCUUUUUCACAAUUUUGAAGUUGAUGGGAAACUGUGGUUGUUCUUUAUGUACUUGUCUACAAUUUAUGGAGGUGUUCUUAUUAACUAAUAACAUUUUUUAUUUUAGGUAUUUUUCAUCAUUUUCAAGUUGAUGGGAAACUGUGGUUGUUCUUUAUUGACUUGUAUACAACUUUUGGAGGCAUUCUUAUGGACUUUCAUUGUCGUAUGUACGUGUGUCAUCAAACCUUUUGUUCGUUUUUUUUCAGUACUGGAAACUUAUAUGAACCCCUGAACCAUAUCUUUAAAGCCUAAACCAUUACAAAAUACUAUCUUCAGGCAAGUUCUUGUCGCUUUUGGUUGCAGCUGAAAACUUUUGAUGUUGUGUGCUCUGCUUUAUAAAAUUUGAGUUCUUUUUCUGUCUGCUGACUUGUUUCCACUGAUAAAACAAAUAAAUCCCGAAGCAAAAAAUUGAGUUAUUUCUCAUUAAUCAACAUCAGUACGUAGAAUCCACUGGUUAUGAAACCGUAUAUUGCAAGAUUGAUAUGAUUAGAGUACUCGUUUGGAUCUGAUAAAGUUGUUCUGCUUAAGAUUUUAGUGCUUAUGAGAUUUUUUCCCCCAAAGCUGACUAAUAUAAUUUGUGCUAAAAGAGCCUUUCCAUGUGGGCCUAAUUGUUUUUUCACCAUCAUUAUCCAUUUUGUGUUGCUUAAGUUUUUCUGUUCUUUCAUUGAUUGGGGUAGUGCAUUAUUAGGCAGUCCUGAGUAUACUUCACUGGCUCCCUCUACGAUUGAUCUUUUCCAAUUUUCAGAUCAUUUUGAUUCUCAUCUUCUCAGUUACCUUGUUUUGAUCUGUAAACAUGUUCAAAAUUUUGUUGGUUUCAUUUCUAGUUUGUUUGAAUAAAACCAUUUGAACAAGAAACAUCACAUCAUCACACCAAGUUGCCAUUCAAUAAAGUGUUUGUCUAAAAAGAAAAAGGUAAGAGAGAGAAUAGCAAAUUUGCAGGUAAGUUUACUCUAUGAAGAUCAGAGUUCUGAAAGCAGCCCCCCCACCAGGAAAAAAUAGAAAAGAGAAAGCAAAACAAAAAGUGGAAUGAUAAAUGAAGCCUUUUCAAACUGCAGGUCACUCCCAACCCAACUAACAGUCAUCAUGCAACGCCCAACCUUCUACAGCUUCAAUGGCAGCUUUUGCUAGAGAGAUCAAAGUUAAGGCUUUGGUGGACAGUCCCACCUACAUGUCUAAAACGAGUUGUGCCACUGCCACCAUCUAUGGAUGCUUGGUUGUUAAUCACUUAUUCACCGAAAGAAGAGUGAAUCAAUGUAGAUUUGGUUGUACGGACGGCGACAAUCCUGAGGUGAGUAUUUAAACAAGAAAGAUACUUAAGGAGGACUUGCUACAUCUAUCUUUGUGCAUCACACCGUGGUUUGUUACAUGACAAAUAUUUUUUAAAAUAUUUAUUUUGUGUAUGGAUGAGAGUCAUAGAAAUAGAUUUAUUGAGAGAAUAAAUUUUAAAUUUGCUUUUAUGUGAUAUGAAAAACAGUUAGAAUUUAGUGUCUGAUUUGAUAAAGUUUUAUCAAAUGAGAAGGAAUAGAUUUUAACUUUCUCCAAAUCCGUAGACUAAACCAUUACCAUUUUUGGAGCAACUAUUAGUGCAGUUGGGUCCUUUUUUUCUUUCUUAUUGGUAAUCUAAGUGAAAAUUAUUUGUAAAAGUUUAAUGGCUUUUGUGAAGUUCUUGUAUUGUUAAUCAAAUUCUAAAGGGAAAUCUUGUACUUUAUGUCAAUCAUUCCUUCCA